rnacentral:rRNA from 1 species
UACGUAGGUGGCAAGCGUUGUCCGGAUUUAUUGGGCGUAAAGAGCGUGUAGGCGGCCAGGUAGGUCCGGUGUGAAAACUCGAGGCUUAACCUCGAGAUGUCAUCGGAAACCAUCUGGCUAGAGUCCGGAAGAGGAAAGUGAAUUCCUGGUGUAGCGGUGAAAUGCGCAGAUAUCAGGAAGAACACCAAUGGCGAAAGCAGCUUUCUGGGACGGUACUGACGCUGAGACGCGAAGCGUGGGGGAGCGAACAGG